rnacentral:lncRNA from 1 species
ACUGCUGCUACUGUCGCGUCGAGGAGGGCAGAGCCGUCGCGGCGUCGCUGCUGCUGUCGUGGUGGGCUGGGAGAUGGCAGUCGGAUGAGCAAGCUCGAUCCAGAUGAGCAGAGUGAACGGAGAUGACAGUGGGCGACGGUAGAAAGGUGUCUGGUGGCGAGAAGAAACGGCAGGAAUGGUGGAUGGAGGUCGUGCUGCUCGUGCAGCGCAGAAUCGCACUGAACCGUGCGUGCUGCACUACUGCUGCUGUUAAGCUGUCCGGACCUUCGCCGGAAAGGCCGAGCCGCCGUCGCGUCGAGUGCCGGAGUGCGUGUCACCGGCCAGCCGAGAGAGAGAGAGAUGAGAGAUUGGGGGUGGGCGGCGCCAGCAGCUGGUGUGAGUUAGG